UGUGUAAGUAUAAAUAUUUUUCUUUGGAACUGCGAAUGGCUCUUUAUAUCAGUUAUAGUUUAUUUGAUGAAAAGUACUACUUGGAUAACCGUAGUAAUUCUAGAGCUAAUACAUGAUAAAAUCCUCGACUUUGAAGAGGUGUAUUUAUUAGAAUGAAACCAAUAGACUUCGGUCUGUUUGUGAGUAAUAAUAACUAAUCGUAUCGCAUGCUUAGGUAGCGAUAUGUCUUUCAAGUUUCUGCCCUAUCAGCUUUGGAUGGUAGUGUAUUGGACUACCAUGGCAGUAACGGGUAACGAAGAAUUUGGGUUCGAUUUCGGAGAGGGAGCCUGAGAGAUGGCUACCACAUCCAAGGAAGGCAGCAGGCGCGUAAAUUACCCAAUCCUGACAUAGGGAGGUAGUGACAAUAAAUCACAAUGCGGAACUAUUAGUUUUGCGAUUGGAUUGAGAACAAUGUACAAAUGUUAUCGAUAAACAAUUGGAGGGCAAGUCUGGUGCCAGCAGCCGCGGUAAUUCCAGCUCCAAUAGCGUAUAUUAACGUUGUUGCAGUA
rnacentral:rRNA from 1 species